rnacentral:lncRNA from 1 species
AUGCUCUCGCAGCUCCCUGGGACCACAGCAGAAAUGUGGCAGCAUCUCUGCACUGCGGUCUGGCUCUGGGGAGCCAGACAACUUUGGCUUCUCCUUCAUGCCCAUUUUUUGCUGGAAGAUGCAAUAGUAGUGGGGGUCCAAGAGAGCUGGUUAAUAUUCAAACAUCACUUCCUCCAGGCUCAAGAGCGGUGCAUCCCURUGAGUAGGAAGUCAAGCAAAGGAGGUAGGAGACCUGCAUGGAUGAGCAAGGAGCUCCUGGCAAAACUCAACCAGAAGAAGGAAGUCUACAGAAAGUGGAAAGGGGGACAGGCCACUUGGGAGGAAUAUAGGAACGUUGUCAGAGUAUGCAGGGAUGUGAUGAGGAAGGCUAAGGCCCGUUUGGAAUUAAAUCUGGCAAGGCAUGUCAAGGACAACAAGAAGGGCUUCUUCAAAUACAUCAGUAGCAAGAGGAACACUAGGGAAAAUGUGGGCCCUUUGCUGAAUGGGGUGGGUGCCCUGGUGACAAAGGAUGCAGAGAAGGCAGAGUUACUGAAUGCCUUCUUUGCUUCAGUCUUUACUGCUCAGGCCAGCCCUCAGGAACCCCAGAUCCUGGAGGCAAGAGAGAAAGUCUGGAGAAAGGAAGACUUUCCCUUGGUGGAGGAGGAGUGGGUUAGAGAUCACUUAAACAAACUUGUCACUCCCAAAUCCAUGGGCCCUGAUGGGAUGCACCCACGAGUGCUGAGGGAGCUGGCGGACGUUAUUGCUGAGCCACUCUCCAUCAUCUUUGAAAGGUCAUGGAGAACAGGAGAGGUGCCUGAAGACUGGAAGAAAGCCAGUGUCACCCCAGUCUUCAAAAAGGGCAGGAAGGAGGACCCAGGGAACUACAGGCCAGUGAGCCUCACCUGCAUCCCUGGAAAGGUGAUGGAGCAGCUCAUCCUGGAGGCCAUCUCCAAGCAUGUGGAGGACAAGAAGGUGCUCAGGAGUAGUCAGCAUGGCUUCASCAAGGGGAAAUCAUGCCUAACCAAUCUGAUAGCCUUCUCUGAUGGAAUGACUGGCUGGGUAGAUGAGGGGAGAGCGGUGGAUGCUGUCUACCUUGACUUCAGCAAGGCUUUUGACACCGUCUCCCAUGACAUCCUCAUAGACAAGCUCAGGAAGUGUGGGCUGGAUGAGUGA